rnacentral:rRNA from 1 species
CCUACGGGGUGCAGCAGUGAGGAAUAUUGGUCAAUGGGCGAGAGCCUGAUCCAGCCACGCAGCGUGAAGGAUGACUGCCCUACGGGUUGUAAACUUUUUUUAUAAAGGAAUAAAGUGCGGCACGUGUGCCUGUUUGUAUGUACUUUAUGAAUAAGGAACGGCUAACUCCGUGCAAGCAGCCGCGGUAAUACGGAGGAUCCGAGCGUUAUCCGGAUUUAUUGGGUUUAAAGGGAGCGUAGUUGGGUUGUUAAGUCAGUUGUGAAAGUUUGCGGCUCAACUGUAAAAUUGCAAUUGAUACUGGCAGCCUUGAGUACAGUUGAGGUAGGCGGAAUUCGUGGUGUAGCGGUGAAAUGCGUAGAUAUCACGAAGAACUCCGAUGGCGAAGGCAGCUUACUAAACUGCCACUGACAUUGAGGCUCGAAAGUGUGGGUAUCAAACAGGAUUAGAUACCCUUGUAGUC